UACGUAGGGGGCAAGCGUUGUCCGGAAUUACUGGGCGUAAAGCGCGUGUAGGCGGGACGGCAAGUCUGGCGUGAAAGGCUCGGGCUCAACCCGAGAUGGCCGCUGGAAACUGCCGUUCUUGAGGGUCGAAGAGGAGAGUGGAAUUCCUGGUGUAGCGGUGAAAUGCGCAGAUAUCAGGAAGAACACCCGUGGCUAAGGCGGCUCUCUAGUACGGUACUGACGCUGAGACGCGAAAGCGUGGGGAGCGAACAGG
rnacentral:rRNA from 1 species